ACGGGUGAGUAAAGCAUAGGAAUCUGCCUUUUGGCGUGGGAUAGCUUAGGGAAACUUAGGGUAAUACCACGUAAGCCUUACGAGGGAAAGCAGGGGUCGCAAGACCUUGCGCCGAAAGAUGAGCCUAUGUCGGAUUAGCUAGUUGGUGGGGUAAAGGCCUACCAAGGCGAUGAUCCGUAGCUGGUUUGAGAGAGCGACCAGCCACACUGGGACUGAGACACGGCCCAGACUCCUACGGGAGGCAGCAGUGGGGAAUAUUGGACAAUGGGGGCAACCCUGAUCCAGCAAUGCCGCGUGUGUGAAGAAGGCCUGCGGGUUGUAAAGCACUUUCGGUGGGGAGGAGAGGCCUAGCGCUAAUACCGCUAGGAAGAGACGUUACCCACAGAAGAAGCACCGGCUAACUCUGUGCCAGCAGCCGCGGUAAUACAGAGGGUGCAAGCGUUAAUCGGAAUUACUGGGCGUAAAGGGUGCGUAGGUGGUUUGAUAAGUUAGGUGUGAAAGCCCCGGGCUUAACCUGGGAAUUGCGCCUAAUACUGUUUAACUAGAGUACUGUAGAGGAAAGUGGAAUUUCCGGUGUAGCGGU
rnacentral:rRNA from 1 species